UCCAGAAAAGCCAAACCCGUUGCGAAGCGGGGACGGAAAGCCACGGAUCUUCCGCCAGGAAGACAGCCGGGUUGCCGAAG
rnacentral:ncRNA from 1 species